rnacentral:rRNA from 1 species
UGGGGAAUUUUGGACAAUGGGCGAAAGCCUGAUCCGGCAAUGCCGCGUGUGUGAAGAAGGCCUUCGGGUUGUAAAGCACUUUUGUCCGGAAAGAAAUCCUUGGCUCUAAUACAGUCGGGGGAUGACGGUACCGGAAGAAUAAGCACCGGCUAACUACGUGCCAGCAGCCGCGGUAAUACGUAGGGUGCAAGCGUUAAUCGGAAUUACUGGGCGUAAAGCGUGCGCAGGCGGUUUGCUAAGACCGAUGUGAAAUCCCCGGGCUCAACCUGGGAACUGCAUUGGUGACUGGCAGGCUAGAGUAUGGCAGAGGGGGGUAGAAUUCCACGUGUAGCAGUGAAAUGCGUAGAGAUGUGGAGGAAUACCGAUGGCGAAGGCAGCCCCCUGGGCCAAUACUGACGCUCAUGCACGAAAGCGUGGGGAGCAAAACAGGAUUAGAUACCCUGGUAGUCCACGCCCUAAACGAUGUCAACUAGUUGUUGGGGAUUCAUUUCCUUAGUAACGUAGCUAACGCGUGAAGUUGACCGCCUGGGGAGUACGGUCGCAAGAUUAAAACUCAAAUGAAUUGAC